AACGAACGCUGGCGGCAGGCUUAACACAUGCAAGUCGAGCGCCCCGCAAGGGGAGCGGCAGACGGGUGAGUAACGCGUGGGAAUCUACCCAUCUCUACGGAAUAACGCAUGGAAACGUGUGCUAAUGCCGUAUACGUCCUUCGGGAGCAAGAUUUAUCGGAGAUGGAUGAGCCCGCGUUGGAUUAGCUAGUUGGUGGGGUAAAGGCCUACCAAGGCGACGAUCCAUAGCUGGUCUGAGAGGAUGAUCAGCCACACUGGGACUGAGACACGGCCCAGACUCCUACGGGAGGUAGCAGUGGGGAAUAUUGGACAAUGGGCGCAAGCCUGAUCCAGCCAUGCCGCGUGAGUGAUGAAGGCCCUAGGGUUGUAAAGCUCUUUCACCGGUGAAGAUAAUGACGGUAACCGGAGAAGAAGCCCCGGCUAACUUCGUGCCAGCCGCCGCGGUAAUAC
rnacentral:rRNA from 1 species